rnacentral:rRNA from 1 species
GACGAACGCUGGCGGCGUGCUUAACACAUGCAAGUCGAACGGAAAGGCCCUGCUUUUGUGGGGUGCUCGAUUGGCGAACGGGGGAGUAACACGUGUGUAACCUGCCCUUGACUUUGGGAUAACUUCAGGAAACUGGGGCUCAUACCGGAUAGGAGCUCCUGCUGCACGGUGGUGGUUGGAGAGUUUCGGCUGUUGGGGCUGGUUUCGCGGCUUAUCCGCUUCUUGGUGGGGUAGGGGCUGACCAAGUCUUUGACGGGUAGCCGGCCUGGGAGGGUGAACGGCCACAAUGGGACUGAGAUACGGCCCAGAAGCCUACGGGAGGCAGCAGUGGGGAAUAUUGCACAGUGGGCGGAAGUCUGAUGCAGCAACGCCGGGUGCGGGAUACCGGGCUACGGGUUGAAAACAGCUUUGGCAGGUGACGAAGAGUGAGUGACGGUAAUGGGUAAAGAAGCAACGGCUAACUACGUG